rnacentral:rRNA from 1 species
GCAGUCGAGCGGAGAGAGGAGCUUGCUCCUCAAUUCAGCGGCGGACGGGUGAGUAAUGCCUAGGAAUCUGCCUGGUAGUGGGGGACAACGUUUCGAAAGGAACGCUAAUACCGCAUACGUCCUACGGGAGAAAGCAGGGGACCUUCGGGCCUUGCGCUAUCAGAUGAGCCUAGGUCGGAUUAGCUAGUUGGUGAGGUAAUGGCUCACCAAGGCGACGAUCCGUAACUGGUCUGAGAGGAUGAUCAGUCACACUGGAACUGAGACACGGUCCAGACUCCUACGGGAGGCAGCAGUGGGGAAUAUUGGACAAUGGGCGAAAGCCUGAUCCAGCCAUGCCGCGUGUGUGAAGAAGGUCUUCGGAUUGUAAAGCACUUUAAGUUGGGAGGAAGGGCAGUAAAUUAAUACUUUGCUGUUUUGACGUUACCGACAGAAUAAGCACCGGCUAACUCUGUGCCAGCAGCCGCGGUAAUACAGAGGGUGCAAGCGUUAAUCGGAAUUACUGGGCGUAAAGCGCGCGUAGGUGGUUCGUUAAGUUGGAUGUGAAAUCCCCGGGCUCAACCUGGGAACUGCAUUCNAAACUGUCGAGCUANAGUAUGGUAGAGGGUGGU